rnacentral:pre_miRNA from 1 species
AGCCUUCUGUAUCCGUGCUGAAACUUAGUCACACACCAGACCACAAGGGCUGAUGAGAUGAGAUAAGUUAAGUG